rnacentral:rRNA from 1 species
GACGAACGCUGGCGGCGUGCUUAACACAUGCAAGUCGAGCGAGCGGCGAACGGGUGAGUAAUGUCUGGGAAACUGCCCGAUGGAGGGGGAUAACUACUGGAAACGGUAGCUAAUACCGCAUACCAUCGGAUGUGCCCAGAUGGGAUUAGCUAGUAGGUGGGGUAACGGCUCACCUAGGCGACGAUCCCUAGCUGGUCUGAGAGGAUGACCAGCCACACUGGAACUGAGACACGGUCCAGACUCCUACGGGAGGCAGCAGUGGGGAAUAUUGCACAAUGGGCGCAAGCCUGAUGCAGCCAUGCCGCGUGUAUGAAGAAGGCCUUCGGGUUGUAAAGUACUUUCAGCGAGGAGGCGUUACUCGCAGAAGAAGCACCGGCUAACUCCGUGCCAGCAGCCGCGGUAAUUC